UUGAGAAUUUCGAGCAGUUCGAAAAUAGUCGGUGGAAAAAUCUCGAGACGUCGUUGAUAGAUUAUAAUAUUAUUCGGUUCCCGCGAACUCGCUUACGAGGAAAAAACGUUCGAAAAAAUUCUCCGACAAACCGUCAUCGUCGUCGUCGUCGUCGUCGACACUCGUGUACUUUGGCUUUUCGCAUCUGUGAUAUCGGUAUGAAUACGAUAUUGGAAUUAUGUAAUAUUAAUUGAUCAUUUAUUUAUCACGCUGCGUACACGUAUAACUGCGAAAAGUUUUCGAAAUGCGAGACUAAAUAGGUCAGUUUGUUGUGUUUAUACAUCGGAAUUCGAUUUGAAAAUGUCAGAUCUUCGCAGUGAUACAUCCAACAGGGCGUCAACAGCUUAUAUAGAUCUUUAUACCGAUGACACGAGAGCGCAUAAUACUGCAGUACCUACCUAUUAUGAUUUCUUUGGAUUUUGCAGUUUCCUAAUCUGACAAGUCUUAAUUUUCCAAGCAUACUUCGCCCAUCGUUACUACAUAUUUUGCACAUAGUGAUAUUUCCUAAAUGUAUGAACGUGCACGACGUUCCUCGAUAGUAUUGCCAGCGGUGGAACAAUCGAGGUGCUAUAAAAAUCCGAAAAUAUUGUAGCUGACAUUAUUUCAGUCGAAAAUAUUUCAUCCGACAAUAUUUAAUCAGAAAAAUAUUUGAUCAGGACCAUAUUUAAUCCGGAACAUGUGUUAUCCGAACCGUAUUUUGGCCAACACAUAUUUAUUUGUGACUAAUAUUACUAACGAAUAAAAUACAGUUAAUUCACAAAGAAAUAUUUAUAACUAGGAGUGAUUAACAACUUAGAAAACCCAAAAUACUUGAUUUUUAAUUUACUAUGGAUCUAUGUAAUACAGGUAUACACAAUUAUCCAAUUUCAACAGGAUACAAUAACCAGUUUGCAAAAUUUUAAUUUUAACGCAAUAAUAUUAUUACAUAUAAUGUUUGUUUUUGGGAUGGAUGCAAAAUUAUAUUUUUGCUGACCGUUGCAGUUACUUGUAUGACAAUCAAACAAUAACUAGGUACAAUCGUAUCGAUUAAUCGCUUUACGGAUAUAAUAAUUGCAACCAAACGUUAACUAACAAGUAAAUCAUAUUUUGUUUACCGAUUAAAUAUUAUAAGAGUAUUUGUUGACAUAUUAAAAUGUUUUUCCAUUUUAAAUUUGUUUCGUCAGAAUCAAAAACACGUAAUAAUACUUACACAUCACAAUAAUAUUGAAUGAUUAAAUUUUUUUAACGGAAAAAAUAUCGAAUAAUUUAUUGCUCUUUUAUGAUAUUUCAGUUCGGCAUCAUACGCGUUUUACAUACAUCCCAUACAACACACAAACCCAAUAUCCUGUUGACGAUUCGUUUAGAGGUUGUUUGUAAGAAUAUUAUCAAAAUAUUUUAUAUAUCAGUUGAUUCUGUCGACCGGAGAUAUACAGACGAAACUGCUGUGUAGGUCACACAUUAUCACCGAAGAAAAGGUCUAAUGCCACGCUACACAUGCAAUAGCAUUAAUUUAGCUAGGUCAUCACUCGAUAAACCAGUGCAGUUAUUAUAUUAUGGGUAAGUUAUGAAAUUAUUAUUAUUAUUAUUUAAAUCGUCGCGCGAGUAUUCAAAAACAACCGCGAAUCGCACGCUGCCCAGUCGAUCACGUAAGUGUCGUUACAUUAUUAUUACAAUAAAAUAGCUAUCGUCGUAGAUCUGCGAUAUCUGUAUGAGCAUUUAUUAUUAUUUAUUAUUAUUGUCAUGCGUGUUUACGUGCACGAUUUGCCCAACGAUCAGUUACGCGUGUUUACGAUUUAGGUACUGUGUAUUGCGUAAAGUGUCUGUUUUGCUGUUUAGUUUUUUUUUUCUGGCUUUGUAUACGCACAUGUUUUAUCGAUACCCAUACUACGCGUGCAUCUCGUUUUUUCCGAUAAUCGCAGGGAGGGUCACUCGACGAGAGAUAAAAGUGUUACUCGAACCCAUUCAGGGCGCAGUGUUCACGUUAAGGGAUCGUCGAUUCGUAUCCGAUGCAUCUAGUAUUUACGAGUGUAAUAAUGAACGGUGUACGGCGGAAAUAAGAUAUAGGAAAUAAGAACUUAAAUAAAUGAAUAUACGAUUUUAGAUGAAAAUAAUACAUUUUUAAUAUUAUGUUCAACGAUGACGGCCGAAAAAAAAAACUUUUAUAAAAAACAAUACUAAUUUUAAAACUUGGAUAUGACGCGGUGAGGCGGUUCGAUAAGAGAAGACUUCAACAGAGAUUAACAGUCUGAUGGCAUAAUAUUAUGAACGACUGUAUUACAUUUUAUGCUACAAUAAUAUUUUAAGUAUACGUAGGUACGAGUGGGUGUGCGUAACUCGAAUAAGUAAUAAUAUCCGCGACGAGCGGUACACCUUUUGUCAGUUCGAUAGGUAUUUUAAACGAGUGUUGUACAAUAAGUGUUAUAAUAUGCAUUAUGCAAGCAGGUACUCGUACGAUAUCUUUAGACAGUAAUACAUGUAUAAUAUAUAUAUAUUAUAAAUAAGUAGAUACUAAAUAUAGGUACAAGUACUUGAUAAUAAUAUAUAUUCAAUAAAAUAAUACGAGUACCUACGCGAUAUUAUCUUUUUACAAUAUAAUGACGAGUGUUACAAUAACUGUACAGACUGAUUGAUUUAACGAACCAAACGCGCCGUAAGUUCACCAGACUAAAAUAAAGACUAAAGUAUUGUAUUGAUAGUUUUAGCCAUAUUUUUUACUCGUGUAUUAAAUAUUGUGAGUGUGUACAUUUUUUCGGAGAUUUUCCAGUCAAACUCUCCUCGUGGUCACCCCGGUGCCCUCGGCGGAGGAUGAAGCUGAGAGGCUGCACUAACGAACUGUGAAAACUACAACAAAAUUAAUUCUAUGCAUGUAUCACCAAGAUCAAAUUCGAGUUGUAACAAAUAAUUAUUAGUGCACGUGGGCCGAAAACGGACUUGAAAAUCAAACCAAUGAAAUCAACGUCUGUUAUAAUAAUCUGAAGAAUAAAAAUAAAACGGAAUUUUUGAAUUUGGUUCGAGUUCAAUAUGAAAAAAAUGCAAGUUUCGUUGGGUUCCAGUUCGUUCAGUUUAAAAAAUUAUGGCCAUUGAUGAACCAGUAGAUCUUCAAAAUCGUAAAGCUAACAUCAUUAUUUUUAACAAACAUUAGGUAUAUAUUUACUGUUUAGCUAUAAUUUAGUAAUCCAAUUGGUUGUUUUUUUAAUUCUGUACCUUUUAUAAGCUUUAAUGAGAUCCCACUUCUCAAAAAAAAACUCAUAAGCUUAUCUUAACACUUCACAAUCAAGUAAUAUUACAUAUUAUUAGGAGCAAUAUUUCAUACCUUUUUUCAAAAUCAUUGCAUGGUGGUUAUUAUUUUGUAUAAAUUAUUUACGAAAAAAGUCAGAUUGAAAUAUUUACAUUUUAAAAUCCCAAAAAUGUUUAGCACCCGAGUUAAGUAUCGAACUAUUGCAACUCUUAACUAAAUUAUAUUUUAACAAUGAUUAAGACAAUAAUAAUAUAUGAGUAUAACAAUAUUCUAAAAACAAACUUUGUGUCCAGAUUUAAAAGUUUCGUUCAUGAUGUACUCUAAAAAUAAAAAACUGGUUCAAUAACUUAACUUGUCUAGAUUUGCCUAUACUUUAUUAUUAAAUUUAUCGACUACGUAUCAAUUCACCACAUCUUAUUUUACAAUAUUUCGAUGAAAGUAGUUAUCGUGAUCUCCCACGAGCAUGUCAUCCGACAGCCCACGCUUCUUUGUCUGCCAAACUUGUUGAUCCCGCUCAAUUCCCCAAAACCGGCAAAACCCCUUCACAUUAUUUUAACUUAUUUACAGAUUGCGCAUAGUUAUGUCAAAUAACUUAUCAUAUGUUACACUUGGAUCUAAUAUUAUAACAAAGAAAAAACACAACAUGUUAACUAAGUGCAUACACUGUACAAGUUUAUAAUUGUUGAUUCAAUCUUUUGUCGUAGUCAUUCCAAUGGAUGUUUUGUUUGACACUUGAAUUUGAAAAUAAAAUUAAAAUAGUUUGUAAGUAUCAGGGCCGUCCCAAAGGUGGGGUUCUAGGGGGUGUCCCAGCCCCCCAAGCGUACAACAUGUAUGUGUCAGUUGGCACAUUGGUACAUUAAGUGUUUGAGUUGGCACUAAGCAAAUCAUAAUUUAUAUUUUACAGUUUUUGAAUAGUUUUUUAAAUACUACAAAGUACAAAUGUGCCAUAAUAAUAUAUUGUAAUUUAUAAUAAUAUGAAGGAGUAUAAGUUGAUUUUCCGAUUGCCAAUAUUAUAAUUUUUCCUUAUAUUGUAUCAGCUUGUAAUUCGUAUUGUAUACAACGUAACCCCCCCCCUCUCUGUGCAGAUCUUUUGAAAUUCGAAUAGACGUAAAUCAGUAAUCGCCCUUUGAAAUUUCAAUAAAUUAUGAGCUACGUGUUUCGUUUAAGAUUAAAUCCUAAUAUAGGUAUAUUGCAUACAUCUUCUCGGUUAAUAUACAAUUAUAAAAUUGUCGUGUUGAACUAAUUAGUAAGUCAUCCAGCUCGUGUAACCAUAAUACUUAUAUGUGAUUGCUUGUAAUACACAAUAUGUUUGCCGAUAAAGUGAAAUCAAUUCAAUAAUCGUUCCGAACGAUUCGAUCAGGAAAUAAUAUAACGUGCGCAUACAUUUUUACAAAAAACAAUGAAAUACAAGACGUGUAUGGUUGAGAUUUUUUUUUUUAAUUUUCAAAACAGCAUAAUCGAUUUAAUAAAUUAAUAUAUAAAACUUAUAAAUAGACGAUUUUCACAUUGCGACAGCGAGCGAAAUCUUGUGUAGGUAUACACGUAUAAACUAAUAAACGCGCGUGCGAAACAUAAUAUCAUCUGCACGAUCGACGUAUUAUUGUCAGACGUCGCACACGCGCUGUAUAAUAUAUUAUGUAUAUAUAUUAUUAUGUUAUAGUAUUGUCACAAUAUUAUGUAGUUUACGCGUCGAGGAAUUUGUUCAACUUGGUGCCGGACGGGUCGUAGAUAUUGACGAGUCUCGCCCAUUCGACUGGCUUCU